rnacentral:rRNA from 1 species
ACUUGUGCAACCCACUUCACCUCACUCUCAGUCCCAGUACACUCCACAGUCCACACUAGCAAAGCGGUAGGAAGAGUAGCCAUGGCUCCGAAGCGCCGCGGCAGCAAGGUGGUGAGCUCCGUCGUCAAGACCAAGGUGGUGGAGGAGACCGUGGAGGUCGCCACCACCAUCCUCCCCGCCUCCCAGUCCCAGCCCGACUCCGCCGACCUGCAGCCGGAGGUCGUCGACGUCUCCCGCUCCCGCGACGUGCACGUCGAGGUCGUCACCACCCCGGAUGCCCAGCCCACCGCCGGCGCCAAGAAGCAGCCCGCCUCCAAGAGGGGCGCCGCCAACGCCAAGUCGCCGGCCGCGCCGCUGGUGGUGGUGCCGGUCUCGCCGGAAGAGGAGCAGCAGCGCAAGAAAGGCGGCAGCAAGACGCCGGCGUCGCUGCAGAGCCAGGAGACGCAGGAGGAGCCCUACGCGUACCAGGGCGACGAGACCACCAAGAAGAGGCCGCAGGAGGAGCAGGACGGCGCUGAGCCUAACAAGCCGGAGGGCCCCGAGACGCCGACGCAGAAGAGGUCCAGGGGCGAGGGCAAGGCCAAGACGCGCAAGGCGGAGGCCGCAGCAAGGAAGAAGCUGUCCGCGGCGGCGGGGAAGAAGGGCGGGCGGCGUCGGCGUCGGCUGGGAGGGAACACGGUGGACAUGGGGUACAAGGCGUACGUGUACCGGGUGCUGAAGCAGGUGCACCCGGACCUGGGCGCGUCGGGGAAGACGAUGCAGGCGCUGGACAUGAUGAUGGCGGACAUGUUCGAGCGGCUGGCCACGGAGGCGUCGCGGCUGACGCAGUACGCGGGGCGCGCCACGCUCACCUCCCGCGACGUGCAGAACGCGGUGCGCCUGGUGCUCCCCGGCGAGCUCGCCAAGCACGCCAUCUCCGAGGGCACCAAGGCCGUCACCAUGUACACGUCCUCCUGA